ACAGCAGCCGCCACGGGAAUACAGAGGGUGCGAGCGUUAAUCGGAUUUACUGGGCGUAAAGCGUGCGUAGGCGGCUUUUUAAGUCGGAUGUGAAAUCCCUGAGCUUAACUUAGGAAUUGCAUUCGAUACUGGGAAGCUAGAGUAUGGGAGAGGAUGGUAGAAUUCCAGGUGUAGCGGUGAAAUGCGUAGAGAUCUGGAGGAAUACCGAUGGCGAAGGCAGCCAUCUGGCCUAAUACUGACGCUGAGGUACGAAAGCAUGGGGAGCAAACAGGAUUAGAUACCCGGGUAGUCCCUGUCUCUUAUAA
rnacentral:rRNA from 1 species